AGAGUUUGAUCCUGGCUCAGGAUGAACGCNGGCGGCGUNNCNAAUACAUGCAAGUCGAGCGAACAGACGAGGAGCNUGCUCCUCUGACGUUAGCGGCGGACGGGUGAGUAACACGUGGAUAACCUACCUAUACGACUGGGAUAACUUCGGGAAACCGGAGCUAAUACCGGAUAAUAUAUUGAACUGCAUGGUUCAAUAGUGAAAGACGGUUUUGCUGUCACUUAUAGAUGGAUCCGCGCCGCAUUAGCUAGUUGGUAAGGUAACGGCUUACCAAGGCAGCGAUGCGUAGCCGACCUGAGAGGGUGAUCGGCCACACUGGAACUGAGACACGGUCCAGACUCCUACGGGAGGCAGCAGUAGGGAAUCUUCCGCAAUGGGCGAAAGCCUGACGGAGCAACGCCGCGUGAGUGAUGAAGGUCUUCGGAUCGUAAAACUCUGUUAUUAGGGAAGAACAAAUGUGUAAGUAACUAUGCACGUCUUGACGGUACCUAAUCAGAAAGCCACGGCUAACUACGUGCCAGCAGCCGCGGUAAUACGUAGGUGGCAAGCGUUAUCCGGAAUUAUUGGGCGUAAAGCGCGCGUAGGCGGUUUUUUAAGUCUGAUGUGAAAGCCCACGGCUCAACCGUGGAGGGUCAUUGGAAACUGGAAAACUUGAGUGCAGAAGAGGAAAGUGGAAUUCCAUGUGUAGCGGUGAAAUGCGCAGAGAUAUGGAGGAACACCAGUGGCGAAGGCGACUUUCUGGUCUGUAACUGACGCUGAUGUGCGAAAGCGUGGGGAUCAAACAGGAUUAGAUACCCUGGUAGUCCACGCCGUAAACGAUGAGUGCUAAGUGUUAGGGGGUUUCCGCCCCUUAGUGCUGCAGCUAACGCAUUAAGCACUCCGCCUGGGGAGUACGACCGCAGGGUUGAAACUCAAAGGAAUUGACGGGAAGGG
rnacentral:rRNA from 1 species